UACGAGGGGGGCGAGCGUUGUUCGGAAUUAUUGGGCGUAAAGGGUGCGUAGGCGGUUCCGCAAGUCCUGUGUGAAAUCUUCGGGCUCAACUCGAAGUCUGCACGGGAAACUGCGGGGCUUGAGUGUGGGAGAGGUGAGUGGAAUUCCCGGUGUAGCGGUGAAAUGCGUAGACAUCGGGAGGAACACCUGUGGCGAAAGCGGCUCACUGGACCAUAACUGACGCUGAUGCACGAAAGCUGGGGGAGCAAACAGG
rnacentral:rRNA from 1 species